CACAGCUACGUAGUGGCCAUGCUGGUUUGCAUCAGCAAUGUAUCCGAUGUCCCGUCGUGUGCUGGAGAACAUCAAAGGCAUUCCUGGAGGACCUCUCCCCUCUUCUCAGUGCCAGGCCUGAGCCAGUCAAAGCUCUGAUCCUUCUUUAUUGCUCACUGUACUGGCCAGACUCUCCAGUACAAUGCUGAAUAGAAGCAUGAGCACAGACAUCCCUAUCUCCUUCCCGGUCUUCGUGGGAACGCAUUCAUCUUUGACCCUUAAAUAUGUUAGCUGCAGUCAUCAUGAAAGUCUUAAAUAAGGAAUGGAGGUUGGAUUUCUUCAAAUGCUUAUUCUGCAUCUGAUGUGCAUAUCUGCAAUUGGCAAACACUCCUUCCUCUAUCAAAUGAUGUUCUCUCCAGCUUUCUGCCCAAGAGCUGUCCAGAUGAACAGAUCAAGGGCUCUCUUGCCCUCUGGAGCCCAGACAGAGUCUUACUUUGUCACCCAGGCUGCAGUGCAGUGGCACGAUCUUGACUCAACUGAAACCUCUGCCUCCUGGGCUCAAGUGAUUCUCAUGCCUCAGCCUCCUCAUUAGCUGGAACUACAGGAGCUUGCCACCACACCCAGAUCAAUUUUGUAUUUUUAGUAGAGAAGUGGUUUCAUCAUGUUGGCCAGCCUGGUCUUGAACCCUUCAAGUGAUCUGCCUGCCUCAGCCUCCCAGAGUGCUGGGAUUACAGGCAUAAGCCACCAUGCCUGGCCUCAUUGUGGGUUUUUUAAUACGCAUUUUCCUCAUUACUAGUUGAGUUAAGCAUCUAAUUAUGUUCUUAGUAGCCAUUUGUAUUAUUUUGUGAAUUGUCUGAGUGCUUUUUUUUAAAAUGCCAAGAUCAUCAAAAGGACCUUAAAUAAAUAUUCACAGCCAAGAGAAACA
rnacentral:lncRNA from 13 species